rnacentral:rRNA from 1 species
CACCGCGGUUAUACGAGAGGCCCAAGUUGACAGACACCGGCGUAAAGCGUGGUUAAGGAAAACUAAAACUAAAGCCGAACACCUUCAGGGCAGUUAUACGCAUCCGAAGGCACGAAGCCCCACCACGAAAGUGGCUUUAUGAGCCCCUGACCCCACGAAAGCUAUGACA